rnacentral:lncRNA from 10 species
GACAGGGUUUCACCAUGUUGGUCAAGCCGGUUUUGAACUCCCGACCUCAAGUGAUCCACCCACCUCAGCCUCCCAAAGUGCUGGGAUUACAGGUGUGAGCCACUGCACCUGGCCUCACUCUUUUCCUAAAACCUUUCAAUGGAUUCCCAUCCCUAGAACACAAUCCAAAACUCUCCUGUGGCCCUCUGGGAGCUAGCCCCUGUCUUUCGGACACCACCUGGUUGCAUGUGCUCCAGCCUCGUGGCUUCUUUCAGAGCUUAGUGGCCAAGGUCUGCCCUGGUCCAUGACCUUCCGAGAGCCAGAUGUUCAAUAUUCAAUAUUCAAUAUUUAUCUAAUCAGUUAAAAAACAUUUCUCUUCAAGCUUCUGGUCCCAUAAGUAUCAGGUGAAUAUUGAAAUGUAGUUUUGAAAUGUUAAAAACAGGGAAUUUGGUGGCUACUAUCCAAAAAAUUGGACUAAACUUCUGAGGAAUUAGUGUUGAGAGAACAGAAGAGGCAUUUUGAGAGAAGAAAUAUCAGAGGGCAGCAAGUGAUGAUUGGACUGCAGUGCAAAAGCUUACAAAAGGGGAGAUGGCAACGCCACUGUGAUUCUCAGUCUGUUUGAAUUCAUUAAUCUCUAUGUCCCUGUGAUGCCCUUUCUGCUCAGUCAGUGCCAAGACUUCUGUCUUAAUUCUCUGUUGUGCAGUGAAGCACAGCCCUCACUUACAGGAAGGAUCAGGGGACAGGAUCCAGACGACUGGCCUGGACCUCUCUCACUCCCACGCCAGGGAGACAAAGUUGGUAGGAGACAUGCAAAAAUGUAUAUAUCACAAUCACAAGGAGGUUUUAAUGAACUUAUCUAAAGAUUGAGAGCUCAAACAUACAAAACAUGAACAAGACAGUUAACAAAUUUGAGCUAUUGGAUUUAUAUAAAACUGUACGUUCAUAUUAUUAUUUUAAAAAUUUGACACUGCAUGGUGCUCAUGAUGAAACAGGCACUGGUUGUAAGUGCUUUACACUUAUUAACUCAUUUAAAGAACUGAAGAGUGCACAUUCUUUCUUAUACAGAACAUUUAUAAAAGUGGUCAUGUAAUGGGUCAAAAAGCAAGUCUCAAUAGAUACCAAAAAUCAGUAUCUAUAGAUCUUAUCAUAUGUAGUAAAAGGACAAAAACACAUUAGAAAGCAGGUUCCUUGACAAAGGAAAAAACAGACAGGGAGAGCAGGAGAUGGGUGAAGAGGUGAAGUUUUAGCUCUACCUAAAAUGCUUUAGAAGGAAGGAAGGAGGGAGAGAGAGGAGGGGAGGGGAGAGGAGGGGAGGGGAGGGGAGGGGAGGGGAGGGGAGGGGAAGGGAGAGGAGAGGAGAGGAGAGGAGAGGAGAGGAGAGGAGAGGGAGGAAGGGAAGAAAAGAGAAGAAAAAUCCAAAUUGAAGGAUAUUCUGCAAAAGUAACUGGCCUGGGCCAGGUGCGGUAACAGGUCUGACUCCAGAGUUCAUGUUCUCU